GAAAAACAGCCAGGACAGCUGACCUGAACUUACCAAACACAGAAUGCCAUUUUCAGUAUUAUAAACCGGAGGGAGUUGUCUGUAAGGAAGUGAUUGCUGCUAAGGGAAAGGCUGGGCGUCAGUCACAUCACACAGUGAAAAUCCAUCUUGUAGUUUUACUCUGGAUCUGAAGAGGGAGGCAUGUGUGUUUGGGACAGCCAGCCAAACCAAACUUUCCUGGCUUUCUAUGCAGGUUCAUGCAUUCUCAGCUGUGAAGAGGUGUCCAAUGUUGCAAGUGAAAUUUUUGUGUAGUUCAUCUCACCCCAAAGGGGGCUCCCAUAUUGUCCUGGUGAAAGAAACCCUAGGCUGCAUUUGUGGGAUUAUGACCACCUCUCCCUUGACUACAGAGGGAAGAUAGACAGCUCAGUGUGGACACGUACAUGGAAAUCUCUAAACAGUAAUGCAAGAAAACGUCACAUGGAGGGGUUCAGACUUUGGUAAGAAAUCCCACAGCCUGCUUGGAACUGUAAUGCUUGCUGAAGAAGAAAGGCUUCUCCAAGGCUUAAUUAAGAUUCUUUUGCAAACAAAGCUGCUGUCUGUCAAACUGCUGUCUCAUUCAUUGAACAGUCUGGAAGAUGUGUAGUUGACAAAGCAGGGAAUAGCAGGAAGACAAAGGAUGACCUAGCAGUAAUGACAACUCCAUGAUGGCCUGGAGGAUCUCUGCAUUGCAGUGAAAAUGGUUAACACUUGGCAAGGCUUUAGGAAAUUGAAGAAAGGGAAAUGCCAGAGUGCUUAAAUAACAAUUGUGUUAACAACCCCAUCAUUAGAGCAGUCAGAUUUUUUCUGUUCCUGUUUUUCUGGAACCAUAUGUUCCUCUACAUAAAUAGAGUAAAGCUUCACUCAUUAGAAACCUUCUACCAUUUUCCAUUUGCUGUGAGCUAGAUUUGCUUGUGAUUACCUAAAUAAAUUACUAAAUCAAAUUUCCUGUAUUUUUGAUUUUCUUAUCUGAACUAUCUCAGACUCCUUGAGCUUCAUAACCAGUCUUCAGGGUCAGAAAGUUUUCUUACAUACUUUUGAAACAGUAGUACUUUAAGACUGUUCUUCUCUAAUGAUCUUGGGGUUUCUAAGUUCUUAUCCGCAGGAGCUCACACAUUUUAAAAAUUGUUUACUUUCAAUAGUUUUAAGUGGAUAUCUGACAAAAUUCACAUUCUUUAACUCCCAUACCAGCUAGAAUGAAAUACUAAAAUAAACCAGGCAUUUUUAGAGUAAAGAGCAUGCCAUGGUUUUCAUGCUGUGAUUCAAGGGAAGAGUUAACAGUUCCUGGGUAUUACCAAAGCAGGAUAAAUACUUACAGUUGUCCUUAGAGCUGACUUUUGGAUAAUUUCUGUAAGAUGGUGAGAGAAAGCUGCUGACUUUACUUUUCUUGAAGAAUUUCAGACUGGAGAACUUGGAAGGGUUAUGCCAGUAUCCCUGUUUGAGGAUAUCUCUCCUGAUGUCCAAUGCCUGAUGCAGUGACCUCAAGGAGAAAUGUGAAAUGUUUCUUCCUUUUUUUUUAAUUAAUUCUUCUUGAAUAAAAAAACUCCUGUUGAACAAAUCUCCUCAAUAAGAUGAAUCCUUUUCUUCUGUACAAAUGGAAGCACUGCAAAACUGCUAACAAGGUGUUUUAAUGGUAGACUUAAGCAGGCUCUUUUGUGUGGGCUGUUUCUACAUUUUUUUA